rnacentral:rRNA from 1 species
AUUGAACGCUGGCGGAAUGCUUUACACAUGCAAGUCGAACGGUAGAGGGGCAACCCUUGAGAGUGGCGAACGGGUGAGUAAUGUAUCGGAACAUGCCCAGUCGUGGGGGAUAACGUAGCGAAAGUUACGCUAAUACCGCAUACGAUCUAUGGAUGAAAGCGGGGGAUCGCAAGACCUCGCGCGAUUGGAGUGGCCGAUAUCAGAUUAGGUAGUUGGUGGGGGAAAGGCCUACCAAGCCGACGAUCUGUAGCUGGUCUGAGAGGACGACCAGCCACACGGGGACUGAGACACGGCCCAGACUCCUACGGGAGGCAGCAGUGGGGAAUUUUGGACAAUGGGCGCAAGCCUGAUCCAGCCAUUCCGCGUGCAGGAAGAAGGCCUUCGGGUUGUAAACUGCUUUUGUACGGAACGAAACGCGCUGAGCUAAUACCUCGGCGUAAUGACGGUACCGUAAGAUUAAGCACCGGCUAACUACGUGCCAGCCGCCGCGGUAA